UACGUAGGGUGCGAGCGUUGUCCGGAAUUAUUGGGCGUAAAGGGCUCGUAGGCGGUUUGUCGCGUCGGGAGUGAAAUCCACUGGCUUAACUGGUGGCUUGCUUUCGAUACGGGCAGACUGGAGGUAUGCAGGGGGAAGAACGGAAUUCCUGGUGUAGCGGUGAAAUGCGCAGAUAUCAGGAGGAACACCGGUGGCGAAGGCGGUUCUCUGGGCAUGUCCUGACGCUGAGGAGCGAAAGUGUGGGGAGCGAACAGG
rnacentral:rRNA from 1 species